GCCAGGCACUGUGGUAAGCACCUGUAGUCCCAGCUCUUGAAAGGUUGCAGGGGGAGGAGUGCUUGAGUGCAGGAGUUCUGUGCUGUUGUGUGCUAUGCCGAUUGGUGUCCGAGCUAAUUUCGGCAUCAAUAUGAUGACCUCCUGGGAGGAGAGACCACCAAGUUGCCUAAAGAGGGGUGACUUGGCAGGUUGGAAAUGGAGCAGGUAAAAAAUCCUGUUCUGAUUGAUAGUGGGAUUGGGCCUAUAAAUAGCCACUGUACUCCAGCCUGGGCAACAUAGCAAGACUCUGUCUCU
rnacentral:SRP_RNA from 1 species